AAAAAACCGCAAAAAGAUAAGCCCAAUGCGGGGCUCGAACCCGCGACAACCAGAUUAAGAGUCUGGUGCUCUACCGACUGAGCUAACCGGGCGGCAUU
rnacentral:tRNA from 1 species